rnacentral:rRNA from 1 species
CAUAGGUUAAUGAGGCGAACCGGGGGAACUGAAACAUCUAAGUACCCCGAGGAAAAGAAAUCAACCGAGAUUCCCCCAGUAGCGGCGAGCGAACGGGGAGCAGCCCAGAGCCUGAAUCAGUGUGUGUGUUAGUGGAAGCGUCUGGAAAGGCGCGCGAUACAGGGUGACAGCCCCGUACACAAAAAUGCACAUGCUGUGAGCUCGAUGAGUAGGGCGGGACACGUGGUAUCCUGUCUGAAUAUGGGGGGACCAUCCUCCAAGGCUAAAUACUCCUGACUGACCGAUAGUGAACCAGUACCGUGAGGGAAAGGCGAAAAGAACCCCGGCGAGGGGAGUGAAAAAGAACCUGAAACCGUGUACGUACAAGCAGUGGGAGCACGCUUAGGCGUGUGACUGCGUACCUUUUGUAUAAUGGGUCAGCGACUUAUAUUCUGUAGCAAGGUUAACCGAAUAGGGGAGCCGAAGGGAAACCGAGUCUUAACUGGGCGUUAAGUUGCAGGGUAUAGACCCGAAACCCGGUGAUCUAGCCAUGGGCAGGUUGAAGGUUGGGUAACACUAACUGGAGGACCGAACCGACUAAUGUUGAAAAAUUAGCGGAUGACUUGUGGCUGGGGGUGAAAGGCCAAUCAAACCGGGAGAUAGCUGGUUCUCCCCGAAAGCUAUUUAGGUAGCGCCUCGUGAAUUCAUCUCCGGGGGUAGAGCACUGUUUCGGCAAGGGGGUCAUCCCGACUUACCAACCCGAUGCAAACUGCGAAUACCGGAGAAUGUUAUCACGGGAGACACACGGCGGGUGCUAACGUCCGUCGUGAAGAGGGAAACAACCCAGACCGCCAGCUAAGGUCCCAAAGUCAUGGUUAAGUGGGAAACGAUGUGGGAAGGCCCAGACAGCCAGGAUGUUGGCUUAGAAGCAGCCAUCAUUUAAAGAAAGCGUAAUAGCUCACUGGUCGAGUCGGCCUGCGCGGAAGAUGUAACGGGGCUAAACCAUGCACCGAAGCUGCGGCAGCGACGCUGAUGCGUUGUUGGGUAGGGGAGCGUUCUGUAAGCCUGCGAAGGUGUGCUGUGAGGCAUGCUGGAGGUAUCAGAAGUGCGAAUGCUGACAUAAGUAACGAUAAAGCGGGUGAAAAGCCCGCUCGCCGGAAGACCAAGGGUUCCUGUCCAACGUUAAUCGGGGCAGGGUGAGUCGACCCCUAAGGCGAGGCCGAAAGGCGUAGUCGAUGGGAAACAGGUUAAUAUUCCUGUACUUGGUGUUACUGCGAAGGGGGGACGGAGAAGGCUAUGUUGGCCGGGCGACGGUUGUCCCGGUUUAAGCGUGUAGGCUGGU